rnacentral:misc_RNA from 1 species
UCUUUCCUCCGAAGACCUUCCAAAACGACAGUCUUACACGAACGCCUUUGUUUACAUCGUGUGUUCGAGGACAGCGCCUGACGUGGCUCCAGAACGCGUACCGGCGGUAGAACUAAUAAUACCAGGAAUUAGAAGAUAUAGGGUGAUUGAGAGAGGAUUUAGGGGUGUGCCAUGGCCAAAUCUAUCUCCUUAAAACCCAAGCGUGAAUUGUUAAACCCCAACUUUGACGGAUAUAAGUUGUCACUGGAUGGAGAUGUGACAGUGUACUCACAAAAUGUCAAUGAAGCCUUGGAGCCAAAGAAGAGCAACACCAGCUGCUAUCUCCGAACACGAAUAGAAGCCUUGCAUAAUCAUCUCUUUAAGGAUCCUUUUCACACAAACCAUGUGUAUUACUUCACCAGCAGAGGUCAUCUUAUCAAGCAUCAGUACUCAAAGGAUUCAAAGCUUAGUAGCAGCGAAGUAGUAUGGCAGGCAGACAUGUCCGAGUUGAGUGAGGAGGAGGCUGAAGGUGACAGAUACUUUGCAAGUCUUCACUUCCCCUCUGACGAUCUGGCUGUUGUUACAAAUGGAAGGGGAAGUCUGCAUAUACUAGAAACUGGCAAUAGAACUACUACACAAAGCUGGCUGGAAUGUCUCCAAACAAACAUGGAACGAGGGGUCAUAACACAGUCAUACAUAGCAGAUGGAGAGGACUACCAACGCCACCUCCACUGCCUCUUGGUAUCAGUGACAACACAGCAGGAACUUGUCAGUAAUGAGCAGUAUGUUAUUUUGGAUGAAGGACUGAAGAGUGCAAAGGAUGUGGCUGUUCAUCUCCUUCAUUGGCUUGUCAUUACAUACAAUGGUGCAACUUGGGAGACAGGACGAGUUAGAAGGCUAGCAGGAAGAGGCACCAUAGAAUACUGCUCCUUCGACACCACAGCCUCAGGCCUUAUCGUCUUGUGCCACAGCAACUAUUCCUUUGUGGAAGACUCACUUAGUCCCAUCACAGCACCUAAGACCAAGGAGAAGGAGGAGGAAAAGAAAUUGCCAAAAUAUACUUACAUGCAGAAUGAUGAGGACAUUAUUGUAUACUUAAAUGUUGGGCAAAUCACAAGGGAAGACCUGAAAGUGACAGUCCAGCCAAAGGAGCUCUGUAUCAAGAUCAAGGACUCGAUAGUUCUUGAAGGACACUUCACUGACCUUAUAUCAUCAGACAUGGUCACUUGGACAAUAAGGGAUACUACACUUGAGUUGACACUACCCAAGUCUUCAGAAGGGGUUAGAUGGAAGAAGCUUUUGGAAGAGGAUAAUGUAAGCGGAGAGGAAGUUUUUGAUCCACAGUUGAUAGAAGAGGUUAAUCAGAGGCUUGCACACCUCACAUCUGAUAAAUUGGAUGAUAAUCCAGACCUCGACAAACCGGCUUACAACCCAGAGCAGUUGGAGGAUUGUGAUGAGGCUCAGGAAGACUUGCUCCUCCUGCACUUAGAUGGGAACUCACACAAGACAGAUUCCCUGGGACAACUGGGAGCAACGCAGCACCUCUUCAAUUCUCAGGUUCAAGGUUCAGUUCUCCCAGCCUUCUGCAUUCGAAGUGAUGUUGAUGGCAUUCUAUGGCUACCUGAGGCAGACAGCUAUACCCAUGUUGCAACUUUCAAUGCUUUUGGCUAUGUGAAAGCUUCAAAAACUAUGGCCAAAUUUACCUGUGCUUCUGCUGACAACUCCUACGUGGCUAUCGCAGAUGUGAAGAGCCACAUUUACGUGUUCUUCCAGUCAGAAGCAUACAGUGGAGAAUUACGCAAUCGCAAAUCCGGCAAAAGAAUGAACACUGUAGCACGGCAGUUGGUGAUCUCAAUGAAGACUCAUGAUGAAAUACUAGGGCUUCACUGUGAUACUGAUGUGCUGUUUGUGCUAACAGAGAAGACACUUUAUGCUUAUGCCUUGCGUAGUUAGUUAUUAUGAUGCCAUGUUUAUAAUAUUGAAAUGUCUGUCUGGUUUGUCAGAUGUGAAAAGUUUCUUUUCGUGUAACAUACAUGGACUGUAGACCUAAAAUAUGUAUGUGAAAUAUUGUUUAUUAAGAAAGUAAAAGUGUUUGUGCAAGGAAAGGAAGACCAUGUGAUGUGGUUUCAAUUGUAUGAGAAAUCAUUCCAUUUAAGAGUAAUUUAUACAAUAACAAGAUUUGUUUACUAAUUUCAAGAAUUACUGUGAAUUCUGGCUUCUUGUAAAUUUGAUAACAUGUUCACCAACAAAUAAAUGUGUGCAUGGAUA